rfam:Triticum aestivum genome assembly, contig: Triticum_aestivum_CS42_TGACv1_scaffold_253489_3DL
AUUGGGAUAGCCGAGUUGGUCUAAGGCGGCACAUUAAGGGUGUGUUUUGAAAGGGCGUGGGUUCGAAUCCCACUCUCAACA